rnacentral:tRNA from 1 species
GGGGAUUUAGCUCAGUGGUAGAGCGCUUGCCUAGCAAGCUUGCUAGGUCCUGGGUUCGGUCCCCAGCUCCG